rnacentral:rRNA from 1 species
UACGGGGGGGGCAAGCGUUGUUCGGAAUUACUGGGCGUAAAGGGCUCGUAGGCGGCCAACUAAGUCAGACGUGAAAUCCCUCGGCUUAACCGGGGAACUGCAUCUGAUACUGGAUGGCUUGAGUUCAGGAGAGGGAUGCGGAAUUCCAGGUGUAGCGGUGAAAUGCGUAGAUAUCUGGAGGAACACCGGUGGCGAAGGCGGCAUCCUGGACCGACACUGACGCUGAGGAGCGAAAGCCAGGGGAGCAAACGGG